rnacentral:rRNA from 1 species
GGUAGGGUUCUUCGGAACCUGAGACCGGCGCACGGGUGCGUAACGCGUAUGCAAUCUACCUUUUACAGAGGGAUAGCCCAGAGAAAUUUGGAUUAAUACCUCAUAGUAUAUAGACUCGGCAUCGAGAUUAUAUUAAAGUCACAACGGUAAAAGAUGAGCAUGCGUCCCAUUAGCUAGUUGGUAAGGUAACGGCUUACCAAGGCUACGAUGGGUAGGGGUCCUGAGAGGGAGAUCCCCCACACUGGUACUGAGACACGGACCAGACUCCUACGGGAGGCAGCAGUGAGGAAUAUUGGACAAUGGGCGCAAGCCUGAUCCAGCCAUGCCGCGUGCAGGAUGACGGUCCUAUGGAUUGUAAACUGCUUUUAUACGAGAAGAAACACUCCGACGUGUCGGAGCUUGACGGUAUCGUAAGAAUAAGGAUCGGCUAACUCCGUGCCAGCAGCCGCGGUAAUACGGAGGAUCCAAGCGUUAUCCGGAAUCAUUGGGUUUAAAGGGUCCGUAGGCGGUUUAAUAAGUCAGUGGUGAAAGCCCAUCGCUCAACGGUGGAACGGCCAUGGAUACUGUUAAACUUGAAUUAUUAGGAAGUAACUAGAAUAUGUAGUGUAGCGGUGAAAUGCUUAGAGAUUACAUGGAAUACCAAUUGCGAAGGCAGGUUACUACUAAUAGAUUGACGCUGAUGGACGAAAGCGUGGGUAGCGAACAGGAUUAGAUUACCCUGGUAGUCCACGCCGUAAACGAUGGAUACUAGCUGUUGGAAGCAAUUUCAGUGGCUAAGCGAAAGUGAUAAGUAUCCCACCUGGGGAGUACGUUCGCAAGAAUGAAACUCAAAGGAAUUGACGGGGGCCCGCACAAGCGGUGGAGCAUGUGGUUUAAUUCGAUGAUACGCGAGGAACCUUACCAAGGCUUAAAUGUAGAUUGACCGUUUUGGAAACAGAACUUUCGCAAGACAAUUUACAAGGUGCUGCAUGGUUGUCGUCAGCUCGUGCCGUGAGGUGUCAGGUUAAGUCCUAUAACGAGCGCAACCCCUGUUGUUAGUUGCCAGCGAGUCAAGUCGGGAACUCUAACAAGACUGCCAGUGCAAACUGUGAGGAAGGUGGGGAUGACGUCAAAUCAUCACGGCCCUUACGCCUUGGGC